GACUUUAUAGUCAUAUUGUAUGAUAUUAGACUGCAAUUCUAAAGGAAUAAAAAAAAUAAUUAUUAAAGUUU
rnacentral:tRNA from 1 species